UGGGUGGAUUAGUGGCGAACGGGUGAGUAAUACGUGGGUAACCUGCCCUCCUUUUUGGGAUAAGCCUUGGAAACGGGGUCUAAUACCGAAUAUUCUGGCGCUCUCGCAUGGGGGUGUUGGGAAAGCUUUUGUGUGAAGGGGGAUGGGCUCGCGGCCUAUCAGCUUGUUGGUGGGGUGAUGGCCUACCAAGGCGGUGACGGGUAGCCGGCCUGAGAGGGUGACCGGCCACAUUGGGACUGAGAUACGGCCCAGACUCCUACGGGAGGCAGCAGUGGGGGAUAUUGCACAAUGGGCGAAAGCCUGAUGCAGCGACGCCGCGUGGGGGAUGAAGGCUUUCGGGUUGUAAACCUCUUUCGCUAUCGAACAAGGCCCGC
rnacentral:rRNA from 1 species